UCAUUUAGAGGAAGGAGAAGUCGUAACAAGGUUUCCGUAGGAGAACCUGCGGAAUGAUCAUUGUCGAAACCUCUGCAAGAGCAUAACGACCCGCGAACUUGUGAUCACACUCGCGAGGGGCGUGCUUCACGGCCGCUCCCCCAUGUCUCCGCAGGUGUGGGACUCCUCCCAUUCCCCGCGGGGGCGCAUAACGAACCGUCUGCGCAGACUGCGCCAAGGAAAUCUAACGAGAGAGCACGUACUCGGGGCCCCGGACACGGUGCACUCCGGGACGCAGCACCUUCUUUCACUCUAUCUGAAACGACUCUCGGCAACGGAUAUCUCGGCUCUCACAUCGAUGAAGAACRUAGCGAAAUGCGAUACUUGGUGUGAAUUGCAUAAUCUCGUGAACCAUCGAGUCUUUGAACGCAAGUUGCGCCCCAAGCCUUUAGGCCGAGGGCACGUCUGCCUGGGUGUCACGUAUAGUUGCCCCACCCCACCCCCGCCCGGGGGCUUGGUGGCGAGGGCGGAUAAUGGCCUACCGUGCGCUCCYCGCUCGUGGUUAGCCCAAAUCUGAGUCCACGGCGAUCGGAGCCRCGACGAUCGGUGGUGAAAACAUGCCUCUCGAGCUCACGUCGCGUGCCCGGCUCUCCGUUCCGAGACUCAGGGACCCCGACGCUCCGCRCGAGCGUCUCUCGCAUCGCGACCCCAGGUCAGGUGGGAUUACCCGCUGAGUUUAAGCAUA
rnacentral:misc_RNA from 1 species